UACGUAGGGUGCAAGCGUUGUCCGGAAUUAUUGGGCGUAAAGAGCUCGUAGGCGGUUCGUCGCGUCGGCUAUGAAAUCCCGCGGCUCAACCGCGGGUCUGCAGUCGAUACGGGCAGGCUAGAGUUCGGUAGGGGAGACUGGAAUUCCUGGUGUAGCGGUGAAAUGCGCAGAUAUCAGGAGGAACACCGAUGGCGAAGGCAGGUCUCUGGGCCGAUACUGACGCUGAGGCGCGAAAGCGUGGGGAGCAAACAGG
rnacentral:rRNA from 1 species